rnacentral:rRNA from 1 species
UCCUACGGGAGGCAGCAGUGGGGAAUCUUAGACAAUGGGCGAAAGCCUGAUCUAGCCAUGCCGCGUGAGUGAUGAAGGCCUUAGGGUCGUAAAGCUCUUUCGCCAGGGAUGAUAAUGACAGUACCUGGUAAAGAAGCCCCGGCUAACUCCGUGCCAGCAGCCGCGGUAAUACGGAGGGGGCUAGCGUUGUUCGGAAUUACUGGGCGUAAAGCGCACGUAGGCGGAUCAGAAAGUAAGGGGUGAAAUCCCGAGGCUCAACCUCGGAACUGCCUCUUAAACUCCUGGUCUUGAGUUCGAGAGAGGUGAGUGGAAUUCCAAGUGUAGAGGUGAAAUUCGUAGAUAUUUGGAGGAACACCAGUGGCGAAGGCGGCUCACUGGCUCGAUACUGACGCUGAGGUGCGAAAGUGUGGGGAGCAAACAGGAUUAGAUACCCUGGUAGUCCACACCGUAAACGAUGAAUGCCAGUCGUCGGGUAGCAUGCUAUUCGGUGACACACCUAACGGAUUAAGCAUUCCGCCUGGGGAGUACGGUCGCAAGAUUAAAACUCAAAUGAAUUGACGG